CGCGUAGGCGGCUUUGCAAGUCAGAUGUGAAAUCCCCGGGCUUAACUUGGGAAUUGCAUCUGAAACUGCUUUGCUUGAGUUCUGGAGGGGGUAGUGGAAUUCCCAGUGUAGCGGUGAAAUGCGUAGAUAUUGGGAGGAACACCUGCGGCGAAGGCGGCUACCUGGACAGCAACUGACGCUGAUGCGCGAAAGCUAGGGGAGCGAACG
rnacentral:rRNA from 1 species